rnacentral:misc_RNA from 1 species
GAUCAAGAACGUAGCGAAAUGCGAUAAGUAGUGUGAAUUGCAGAAUUCAGUGAAUCAUCGAAUCUUUGAACGCACAUUGCGCCCCUUGGUAUCCCGAGGGGCAUGCCUGUUCGAGCGUCAUUUCACCACUCAAGCCUGGCUUGGUGUUGGGCGACGUCCCCUUUGGGGACGCGCCUCGAAACGCUCGGCGGCGUGGCACCGGCUUUAAGCGUAGCAGAAUCUUUCGCUUUGGAAGUCGGGGCCCCGUCUGCCGGAAGACCUACUCGCAAGGUUGACCUCGGAUCAGGCAGGGAUACCCGCUGAACUUAAGCAUAUCAAUAAGCGGAGGA